rnacentral:tRNA from 1 species
GGAGCGGUGUCCGAGUGGCCGAAGGAGCGCGAUUGGAAAUCGCGUAUACGGAAACGUAUCGUGGGUUCGAAUCCCACCCGCUCCGCCA